GGUGGCAAUAGCGACGGGGUCACACCUGUUCCCAUUCCGAACACAGAAGUUAAGCCCGUCUACGUCGAUGGUACUGCUCGGGAGACCGUGUGGGAGAGUAGAAAGCCGCCGGGU
rnacentral:rRNA from 1 species